rnacentral:misc_RNA from 1 species
UAAAUCCAAAUAUACACCCUUGUGAACUGUGCGCUGAAGUUGCUACGCUUGUCGUGCAUCUUUCGCUGCAAAAACUACUUAAUUUAAGAAAGCUGAAGCAAAUUUAUUAAAUUAAA